CCCUGCAUUCGAAAGUGAUCUUGGGCUACCUGUGCCCUGGUCAUUGAUAGUGCAGGGAGAGGAACUGCUGAAAGCAUUUUCCCCGUGUUUGGAGGGUCUGCUCUUGUCCCUUUCAAACUCUGGAGCUUUCGUACA
ensembl:snoRNA SNORA71 Small nucleolar RNA SNORA71